GGUGCAGACUCUCAGGUCAGAUGGUGAGGGCUGAUUGCGGGAGGUGGACAAGAAGUCUGGCCUAAUGACUAAGGACAGCUAACGCCUAACUCCGUUCCUCAUCACUCCACCUGGGUAAGAGCAUUUGGUGCAACGAGCCAGUUUCGAGCCUGUGAAGGACCGUGGGGCAAGGUGACCGAUGCCGCUACCUCUUUGUCAUUCAGUAGCCCUCUUUACCUGUUUUGGCCUCGCUGCUAGGGCUGUCGCCGAGCUUACACGGACUCCAGGUGAUGAGUUUUUCUUGAGUCACUGCAAAGGCAGUUUCACUAGGCUUCACUUUUCUUUCUCGCGGUUUUCGGCCAGGUCUCUCCUGAGACACUCCUAUCUCCCGGUCCCGACACCAGCACCAAGCGCUCAGAAGCAGCGGAACUGGCAACACCUUGGUGCCCUAGACGGAAACCUCAGUCCCGACUGAAGCGUAUUCAUCACCAACACUGGGAUAGCUGCAGCUAGGGCCACACAAUAAAAAUAGCCCAGGACGGCACUGGCUAUCCGCUGCCCCUUCAGCUAUAGAAUUCCUGUCCUUAAUCGCUUUUAGUUCUGUAACUGCUUGUGGAAACAGCUGAUUACUGGACAGGUGGGAGUACGAAAGGCGUUUAGUAAGACUGCAAAUCUGAUGUGAACUGGUAGGACGCAGAGUGUAUGGCAUAGUCAAGAAAGAAGUCAACGCCAGGCGAGGUGCUAUGGCUAAGGGAUUAAUCUUUUGUGUCCCAACUAUGUUGCUCUGACGGUUCCACUUGCACUACUGGUUUUUACUUCAUCGUUAAUCUCUGCUCUGGCCGAUAACAGCCUGCAUGAAAACAUCACCAGUUUUCAAGUUUUUCUCAGGAUGAACAGUACAUAGAAAAGUGAGCCUGAAUGCUGAGAUCCUGAGACCGUGCUGCGGCGCCUGGGAAUUCAUAGAGCAGCUUUUAAGGGGCCACCACUUCUCGCAUCGUGUGCCAUGCAAGUAAACCUACCCUAUCCUGAGACCCUUGCCUGGGGUGACUGGAAGAGCUGCUUCUGUAGAAUCCUGGGCCAGACCAUCUAUCUGGACGAAUAGGAGAAAAGCCUAGUUGUUGUCUCCUGCAAGAUGUAUUCAGUUGUAAUUUCGCCUUUGUUCCUUAAUCUGUUAGUAUGGUAUAUUACAUCGAUUAAUAUUUCAUAUUAAAUCAGUCAUGAAUUCCCAUUA
rnacentral:lncRNA from 1 species